CACACGCACAGCUAAGAGACACAUACAAAGCCAAGUCGCCGCCUGCUGCUUCAAUCGCAGCCCUGAUCACCCCCUCCCCUGGGCGGAGGAACGUCUCCACAAGGGGUUUGUCAGGCUCCAGACUCACACUGUUCACUCGUGAAGGGAAAAAGAGCCGCCCACCAGUGAAAACGCCUUCCUUACUACCGGGAUAUGGCGCUCAGAAAGGGGAGCGACCGACACUCCUCAGUCAUGUCUUUAUCCACCUCCACACCCCGUUAAUCGACUUCAACGAAGUCCACGUGAAGCAGGGAGAGGAAGGUACAAAACACAUGGCUGACCCUUUUUGACAUAAUAUAUACACACACCCCUCACAUGAACCCGUGAAAACGCCCCCAAACACACUCCCCACAGAGACAUGGCGUCCGAAGAGGGCAGCAGCUGACAAUCCUCGAAAAAACUCCCUCGGGUCUACUAUUUCACCCGCCUGUUCUCCGCCCCAGAUUGGCCAAGUUUGGCGGAGUCCACGGGAGGAAGGGGGAAGGGUAGACUCAAAACACGCGAGUGGCCCCUUUAAACGCUCAACAGGCACACAUCUCAUCUCGCCUAGGCCGGUAAAGACGCGGGUGAGGGCAGCGACGGACAUUCCUCGGAAGCCCUCUUUGGCGCUUCUUCGCUUUGGCCAUUCGUCCCAACUAACUCUCUGCCCAUCUAUGCACAGAAGGAGGACUAGAACAUCUCAGUACACAACCUCGCUUGGAUAUGAAUGAUCAAGGGUCUGGAGAACAAGCCCUGUGAGGAGGGGCUUAAAGAGCCGGGCAUGUUUAGCCUGCAGAAGAGAAGGCUGAGAAGAGGCAUUACAGCCAUGUAUAAAUAUGUGAGGGGAAGUCAUAGGGAGGAGAGAACAGGCGUGUUUUCUGCUGCCCUGGAGACUAGGAUGCGGAACAACGCCUUCAAACUACAGGAAAGGAGAUUCCACCUGAACUUCCUAAAUGUGAGAGCUGUUCAGCAGUGGAACUCGCUGCCCCGGACUGUGGUGGAGCUCCUUUUUUAAAACAGAGGCUGGAUGGCCAUCUGUCGGGGGUGCUUUAAUACGAUUUUCCUGCUUCUUGGCAGAGGGUUGGACUGGAUGUCCCACAAGGUCUCUUCCAAUUCUACGAUUCUAUGAUACUGGGAACGCACCCUGGCUCUCUGUUGGCUGCUGUAAACCAGUCUAUGCUUUUAAUGCAUUUUAAGUUGCUUAGAUUUUAAUAUGUUGUAAAUUUUAUCAUUAUGUUUAUUUAAAGGACUUAUAUUUUUUGCUAGUUAUUAUAAGUUUAUAUUGAUGUUGUUUUACUUACUGUUUUGAUUUGAUCUGUCUGACUGUUUUUUUAUCAUGGCAUUGAAUGUGUUGUUGAAGGCUUUCAUGGCUGGAAUCACAGGGUUGCUGCGAGUUUUCCGGGUUGUAUGGCCAUGUUCCAGAAGCAUUAUCUCCUGACGUUUCGCCCACAUCUAUGGCAGGCAUCCUCACAGGCUGUGAGGUCUGUUGGAAACUAGGCAAAUGGGGUUUAUAUAUCUCUGGAAGGUCCAGGUUUAGAGAAAGAACUCUUGUCUGUUUGAGGCAGGUGUGAAUGUUGCAAUUGGCCACCUUGAUUAGCAUUCAAUAGCCUUGUAGCUUCAAAGCCUGACUGCUCCCUGCCUGGGAGAACCCUUUUUUGGGAGGUGUUAGCUGGCCCUGAUUGUUUCUUGUCUGGAAUUUCCCUGUCUUCUGAGUGUUAUUCUUUAUUUAUUGUCCUGAUUUUAGAGGGUUUUUUAAACUACUGGUAGCCAGAUUUUGUUCAUUUUCAUGGUUUCCUCCUCUCUUUUUUUUUGAAAUUGUCCACAUGCUUGUCUCCAACAGACAAGAGUUCUUUCUCCCACCUUGGACCUUCCACAGAUAUAUAAACCUCACUUGCCUAGUUUCCAACGGACCUCACAACCUCUGGGGAUGCCUCCAUAGAUGUGGGCAAAACGUCAGGAGAGAAUGCUUCUGGAACAUAGCCAUACAGCCUGGAAAACUUACAGCGACCCAAUGGCAUUGAAUGUUUGCCUUUUUUUAUUUGGAAACGGCCCUGAGUCCCCCAGGUGAGAUACAGUGGGUUAUAAAUAAAGUUUUAAAUAUUACUAUUUAUUAUUAUGACUUUCGCUGAGUGAAAAGUCAAUCCCCACCUUUGCUCAUUCUCCACUUUCUCCUUCCACGCAUGGAUCCACCACCAACCUGCAUGGUUUCCUUCCACCUGCUCAAAAAAAACAAGAGUCCAGGCAGAAGAGAAAAACGAGUGUGGGCUUUCUCUACCAAUUAUCAUUUUAAAAAGAGGAAAUGUUGACUUCUCUUCCUCAUCAUCUUCACCAGCAUCUUCAUCCUCAUUGCCUAAAUUUUGCAAUGGCUUCAAAUACCCGCAUGAGACAAGAGGAGUGCUUAACCUCACCAUUAAAAGUCUGCAGGUAUUUGUUCCUUUUGCACCUUGGAAUUGGCUGCUUAAUAAUAAUAAUAAUAAUAAUAAUAAUAAUAAUAAUAAUAAUAAUGUGGAAUUAUAGGGAUUUAGUCCAGAGUGAAAGUGGAAGAACUGCCGAAGAAGGAAAAGAAUGCAACCAACUUGCCAUACUUAGAAGAGGUGACCGUCAUUGGACCAGGUUGCUGUGAGUUUUCUGAGCUGUAUGGCCAUGUUCCAGAAGCAUUCUCUCCUGAUGUUUCGGCCACAUCUAUGGCAGGCAUCCUCAGAGGUUGUGAAAUUUGUUGGAAACUAGGCAAGUGGGGUUUUUAUAUCUGUGGAAGGUCCAGGGUGGGAGAAAGAACUCUUGUCUGUUUGAGACAAACAUGUGGAAAAUUUCAACAGAAAGGAGGAAACCAUGAAAAUGAACAAAAUCUGGCUACCAGUAUUACAAAACUCCAAAAUCAAAACAGUAAAUAAUGAACAACACUGAAAACAGGGGAAUUCUAGACAUGAAACAAUCAGGGCCAGCUAACACCUCCCAACAAAGAAUUCCCUUAGGCAGGAAGCAGCCAAGCUUUGAAGCUGCAAGGCUUUUCAAUGCUAAUCAAGGUGAUUAAUUGCAACAUUCACAGGUGCCUCCAACAGACAAAAGUUCUUUCUCCCACCCUGGACCUUCCACAAAUAUAUAAAUCUCACUUGCUUAGUUUCCCACAAACCUCACAACCUCUGAGGGUGCCUGCUAUAGAUGUGGAUGAAACAUCAGGAGAGAAUGCUUCUGGAACAUGGCGAUAGAGCCUGGAAAACUCACAACAACCCAGUGAUUCUGACCAUGAAAGCCUUCAACAACACAUAGUCAUUGGACCAUUCAAUAUAAUUAUCCACAAACUUAACAGCUGGUGAAACAUCCUGAUGUGGCAGUUGCACAUGUGUAUUCACAGAAGAGCAUGGGGAAGGAGGAUUUUUGGUGACAUUGCAAGCUAUGUCAUUGUUCCUUCUUUGCAGCCUUUCCAUGUAAGGGGCUAACACUUAUUUACUUCCUUCUUCCCCUCUCCGUGUAUUUUCCCCUUCCCUCUCCCAAUGGUGUGGGCAUUUGCCCUCUACUACCAACCAGGUUGCAGCAAAACUCAUUUUGCAACCUCCAUGAAAGAUGUGAGAUGAGAGCAAGCUCAUGCAUUGUGGAGAAAAAAUUAUUAGAGCCGGCAUCAGGAGAAAAGGAGCGGCGUAUCAUGUUCCAAGUCCUCUAAGCCAAUCAAAUGUCCUUUGCAAAUGAUGGGUUGGAAGAUGAAGGGAUGAUGGAAGGAUGGCUAUGAACAAGUAAUUCUGUGUGGUGCAGGUUGAGCAUCUCUUCUCUGAAAUACUUGGGACCAGAAGUAUUUUGGGUGGGUUUUUUUUUUCCAGAUUUUGGAAUAUGGUAGAGUCUCACUUAUCCAACAUAAAUGGACCAGAAGAACAUUGAAUAAGCAAAAAUAUUGGAUAAUAAGGAGGGAUUAAGGAAAAGCCUAUUAAAUGUCAAAUUAUGUUAUGAUUUUACAAAUUAAGCACCAAAAACAUGAUGUUUUACAACAAAUCAACAGAAAAAGCAGUCCAAAACACGGUAACGUUAUGUAGCAAUUACUGAAUUUAUGAAUUUAGCACCAAAACAUCACAAUAUAUUGAAAACAUUGACUAAAAAUAUCGGCUAUUAACAAAUUGACUACAAAUAAAGAUAGAAUUGCAUAAAAUGAACUUACAGUAGCAACACUGUCGGAAAUUAAAUCCACAAAAAGUUCAAUCCUUGCUGUCUAGAGAAACAGCUGUGGAUCGGGGUGGGAGGCAAACUGCGUUGGAUAAUCCAGAAUGUUGGAUAAGUGAAUGUUGGAUAAGUGAGAGACUACUGUACUUGUAUUUGCAUAUACGUACAUAAUGAGAUAUCUGGGAGAUGUGACCAAAGUGUAAACACAAAAUCCAUUUAUGUUUCAUACACACCUUAUAAAAUGUAAUUUUAUACAAUAUUUUUGAUGAUUUUGAGCACAGAACAAAGCUUCUGUACAUCAAAUUAUCAGAAGGCACUGGCUCAGCCACUCAUGUGAACAACUAAAUUGUUGGAAGGUUUUAGAAUUUCAGAUAAGGGAUGCCCAACUUGUAUCAAAUGGUUCAGUGCUACAGGAUCCCGGGAUUUCCAAUUUGAUGAGGCACCAGAACUCUUUGGCAGAGAAGGCUAAAGACGUUGUGAAACUACAACUCCCAUGAUGCCAUAGCAUUGAGCCAUAUCAGUUAGAGUAAUGUCAUACUGCAUUCAUUCUGCAGUGUAGACAAACAGAAGGAGCUUGAUUCUGCAGUACUUGCUCUUCGCAUAGGGUCCAUUCAAAUCUAUGAAAGAGACCAGCACAUAUUCAGACCCUUGGAGGAAAACUGCCAAUGUAUUAUUUAUUUAUUUACCAUAUUUAUAUCCCGCCUUUCUCUACUCUGAGGAGGACUCAAGGCGGCUUACAAACGGCAUUUAUAAAGUGCCUUAGGCAUAAAACACAGACAUGAAAUAGAAUUAUAAAAAAUUAAAACAGACAUAAAACAUAAUUAAAGUACAUUCCAAUAUGAGACACAUCAUCCAAAGGCAAGGUCUAAAGCUGUUCCAAAAUCCAUUGUAUGAUUCCCAGGUUUAUAAAAAAAAUGCACUGCACUAUUUAUCAAAGGCCUGCUCCCAAAGCCAAGUUUUUACUCUCUUCCUAAAGAUUAGGAGGGAGGGGGCUGAUCUAAUAUAGCUAGAGAGGGAAUUUCACAGCUGGGGGGGGUCACCACUGAGAAGGCCCUGCCUCUCGUCCCCACCAGUCACACUUGCGAAGGAGGUGGGAUCGAGAGCAGGGCCUCCCCAGACGAUCUUAAACUCCGAGGUGGUUCAUAGGGGGAGAUAGUAGAAUUAUAGAAUAGUAGAGUUGGAAGAGGCCUCAUGGGUCAUCCAGUCCAAUCCCCUGCCAAGAAGCAGGAAAUCGCAUUCAGACAGGUAGACUGGACCGGAACCGUUUAGGGCUUUAUAGGCUAAAGCCAGCACUUUGAAUUGUUGGUGCCUUUGUUUUGGAAGUGGGAUGCAAAGACGUGUGUGGAUUAACCACAGUGUGUUAAUCAAAGUUGUGCUUUUUAAAAUAUGACUUUCUGUUAUACUAAAUAAAGACUGAGAUCCACAUUAAGUGAACACACAUAAUGUCAUGAAUGGUUAAUUCAAUGGAAGGAGUAAGAGUUAAUAGUAUAACUUUUUUCUGCAGCUAAGAGAACAGCCUUCUUGUUUAUAUAUAUUCAGCAAUAAGAAAGUCUAAUGCUUUCAUCGUAGCUUUUUAUAAACCAUUGUUGUUCCAAAGUACACAGCUAAAUUAAGAUAGACAGCAAAAGAUUGAAGUACACAUCCUUACACUGAAAGGAAAAGUAAUUAUAUUAACUCUUCCAUGUAUUUAUGAAUAAGAACAAUAGUGACAUUUAAGUUCUCAUAAUAAAUGCUUACAACAACUCUACGAGGGUGGAUGGCAAUUAUCAGACACUCAUGACCAAAUGAUCAUUUGAAUCUGGGCCUCUCCAGUCCUCUUGUUGCUGUAUCAGUUUUCUUAUUAGGAUGUCUUAUCUAUAACCAAUAUCAGAUGAUACUGGGAUUCAAUUCAAGAUGUUUAAUUAACAAAAUAUUUUUUGUACCUACCCAAAUGGCAAUACAUAUUUUUUCUGCCAUAAUAAAAGCACUAAUCAUCUGCUACAGUUGUAUUCAGUAUGCAAAAUAGGAUAAUGAUUGGAUUUGGAGGUUAAUAAUACCAUGCUUGUUAGUUAUUGAUAAUACAAGGUCCCAGAAUCCUUAAAUUUUCCUACAUUCUUAGAAAUAUAUAUGAAGAUACUCGGCUUUUGUGGUUUUGUAUCUUGAAUAGAACAUUUUAGUAUUAGAUCUUAGUCUAUGUGGAAUUUGAAAGAUGUUAUAACUCUUGGAACUUUGUAUGUUCUUAACCUAAGCCAAUGAAGUUAUGUUUUAGUGACCCAUUGAGUCUUGAGUUCUGAAUACAUAAUACUUUCUUAAAUAUAUUUUAAAAAAUAUUUGCCCACUAGACUUAUCCAGAAAUUAAAAGAUACCUAAAUAAUAUUUUUAGUUUUUUCCCAGAACUGAGACAUUUGUUUCUGGUGAAUCAUGUGUCAGAUUUCUACCACUUAGAAAAUGUAUUUAUAAAGUGCAAACAGUUGCCAUAUUAACUUGAAAAUGGGCUAAAUUCAGUUUUAUACCCUAGCAAAGUUUGGAAAAGUGACUUUGGACUAUAAUCAUAAUCUUUAUUUAUAUCUCACCCCCUCUCCCCAUAGGAACUCGAACAAACUAGAACAAAAGGCAGCUGAUAUCCACUGACUAGGGAAUUCUGGGAACUGUAGUCAAAACAGGUUACUUUUCCAAACUCUGGUUGCUAGCUUUGGAGUGGGCUUUGGACUGCAUCAUUAAAAUCUGUUUUAAGGCAUGUUUUAUGGAUGAUAGAUCUAUCAGUGGCUGUUAGCCAGGAAUAAAUGGAAGCAAUAAAUAUUUAUUACAUUUG